GGCUCAAACACUGAUACUUUCCAGCGGAAAGGAUCAGUUGCUACCAAGUCAAGAGGAAGGUCAAAGACUCCAACAUUUGCUGCCAAACUGUGAGAAUCGUUUGUUUUCUGACUGCGGUCAUUUUCUUUUAUUGGAAGAUGAAGUAGAUUUGGCGACUAUUAUCAUGGGUACUAAUUUCUACCGUAGAGGAGCAUACCAUGACUAUGUUUCAGAUUACGUGCCACCAUCCCCUUAUGAAUUCAAAAAAAUAUAUGAAUCAGUCAGGUAUACCAUUGUGCUGUCUUGCAAAUACAAAUAUUUUCUGUGACUGGGACCGGAAUGAACUUCUUGUUAACUUGGCUACUCUAGCAGCAGCAUGAUACGGGUGGGUAUAGGACAUAAUAUGCUUAUUUCAAUUUCCUCUCAAGAUUUAUGUGGAAGAUGAACUUUUUACUAUAAUCUCUACCAAAAACUUAGCAUGCAAAAUGAUGACGGCCAUCCUCAGACUAACUUUAGCCAUCAUAUUAGAUGAGUUCCUUUUUAUCUUGAAACCGUUCAGCCUAUUAUAGGAGUUGUUGUUAUCAUGAAACCACACAACCUUAAUGUUCUAGCUUGAGAACCUAAUAACAUGUUUUAAUAUCUCUUCACAUGAAACUUGUUGACCUUAUGAACAAGCAUAAGUGUGCUUUACCUUUGAUGAAAUUUAAUUAGUAAGAGGAAUUGAAUUCUAAAUGUUUUAUUUAACGAGUUAGAGAGACUUUGAUACCAUAGUGUGAAAUCAUUUUACCUAAAGCGCAAGCUUAGAAGCGAGGAUCCAAGAAUAGGUAUUAAAUUUCUUACAUUUAAGAUUAAUUAAGUUAAUAUUUUGAAUAGUUUUUUUUUUCCCCCCAUUUUAGGUUGAUAAGGCUUGCUACAAGCCCUGUGAUG
rnacentral:misc_RNA from 1 species